GCUUGCUAUGGAAGAUAUUUGCUAUUAUCAAUGGCCUCUGCCUGGGUUGGAUCAGGUUUUGUAUAUAUUCAUGGCAUUCCUUCAAUAUUUUGUUUCUCACAAUUAUAUAGGGAGUGGAGCUAACCCACUUCAAUGCCCAAUUUGCAGUUUGGGCUAUUUAGUAUCUGCGAUGGGGCUGCUAAAUCCGCAAGCAAACUUUUUCCUGAGAUAAUUUCUAAUAUAUUAUUGGAUUCAUAAAAAAGGGAGCGGAUUUUAUCACUUCAUGAUGCUUCAGAAAUUCUAAGAGAUGCAUUUUCUCAAACAGAAGCAUGCUUGAAUCAUUACUGAGAUUAAAGCCACCAUCAGGGUCUGCUGUGCCUAUUGCAGAGUACAUUCCAGGUCAAGAAUCAGGAGUUAGGGUCAAAUUGAUGUCCUAUAUCCUAUAUGUUAGCAU